AACACAUGCCCCUCGAGCGAGAACAAAUAUUAUUUUGCUAAUUUGCUGACAAGCGGCGGACGGGCGAGUAAUGCCUGGGAAUAUGCCUUGAUGUGGGGGAUAACUAUUGGAAACGAUAGCUAAUACCGCAUAAUGUCUUCGGACCAAAGAGGGGGAUCUUCGGACCUCUCGCGUCAAGAUUAGCCCAGGUGAGAUUAGCUAGUUGGUGGGGUAAGAGCUCACCAAGGCGACGAUCUCUAGCUGGUCUGAGAGGAUGAUCAGCCACACUGGAACUGAGACACGGUCCAGACUCCUACGGGAGGCAGCAGUGGGGAAUAUUGCACAAUGGGCGAAAGCCUGAUGCAGCCAUGCCGCGUGUAUGAAGAAGGCCUUCGGGUUGUAAAGUACUUUCAGUCGUGAGGAAGGGUGUGUAGUUAAUAGCUGCAUAUCUUGACGUUAGCGACAGAAGAAGCACCGGCUAACUCCGUGCCAGCAGCCGCGGUAAUACGGAGGGUGCGAGCGUUAAUCGGAAUUACUGGGCGUAAAGCGCAUGCAGGCGGUCUGUUAAGCAAGAUGUGAAAGCCCGGGGCUCAACCUCGGAACCGCAUUUGAAACUGGUGAACUAGAGUGCUGUAGAGGGGGGUAGAAUUUCAGGUGUAGCGGUGAAAUGCGUAGAGAUCUGAAGGAAUACCAGUGGCGAAGGCGGCCCCCUGGACAGACACUGACACUCAGAUGCGAAAGCGUGGGGAGCAAACGGGAUUAGAUACCCUGGUAGUCCACGCCGUAAACGAUGUCUACUUGGAGGUUGUGGCCUUGAGCCGUGGCUUUCGGAGCUAACGCGUUAAGUAGACCGCCUGGGGAGUACGGUCGCA
rnacentral:rRNA from 1 species